rnacentral:rRNA from 1 species
CCUACGGGGGGCAGCAGUGGGGAAUAUUGGGCAAUGGAGGCAACUCUGACCCAGCAACGCCGCGUGAGUGAUGAAGGUCUUCGGAUUGUAAAACUCUUUAAGUGGGGACGAAGAAAGUGACUGUACCCACAGAAUAAGCCUCGGCUAACUACGUGCCAGCCGCCGCGGUAAUACGGAGGAGGCAAGCGUUAUCCGGAAGGACUGGGCGUAAGGGGUGCGUAGGUGGUUUGACAAGUUAGUAGCGUAAUUCCGGGGCUCAACUUCGGAACUACUACUAAAACUGUUGGGCUUGAGUGCAGGGGAGGUGAAUGGAAUUCCUAGUGUAGCGGUGGAAUGCGUAGAUAUUAGGAGGAACACCAGCGGCGAAAGCGAUUCACUGGACUGUAACUGACACUGAGGCACGAAAGCGUGGGGAGCAAACAGGAUUAGAUACCCUAGUAGUC